CAUUAAUGUAGGCAGAUUAUCAAUGUUAUGCAUUUCACUGAUUGCAUAUCUCUUUUUUUAUCAAUGGUGAACAUUGCAAAUGAUUGAUACGUUUUUCUUAGGAAGUGGCAUUGCCACAAAUGGUUUUUCCAACACCAGCAGGGCCUGAGAGUGUCAUCACCAUACACUCUUGCCGGCAAUAAGAGAUUUCACCUUUUAAUGAUAUGAGAGGGAAAAGUUGGGUGUUGGGUUCUCCAGUGCAUUUCUUUCAUUAUGAGUGACAUUUUUCUGAAAGGAACGUGA
rnacentral:lncRNA from 1 species